GCUAUGCCGCUUGGAGUGUUCCUUGUCAGACAUAUUCUUUACAGGAGGUCUAAAGUGUUAGGAAUAAACAUUUGUUCGCCAGGGGCGGGGCCUAACUGGCAUGGUGAGCGGUAGCACAUUGCAAGAGCUCCUGGAGAAUUCCUGUAAACUAGUCAUUUUUGACGACUUUUGCUAAGCUAAUCUAGCUUUAUAUGACUCCGCUACGUUCCUGCAAUCCAGGAGCACACACCCUGCGCAACUGAGAACCAGCAGCGCUUCAUCUGGUCGGUAAUCUACUGGGGCAAUCCUGCGGCUUAGCUACACAGGAGUGAGGGCGGCCGAUCCCUCACCCACGAUAUCCCAGAGGAAGCCACUGUGAACUGCCCUGUUUCUUCUCCUGUCGGUGAGGGAUAUCCCGGCACUAUACCAACUGGGACUGUCCCAAGCACACCCUGAUACGACUUAAGGAUCCAGCUUCGGCAUCCAAGAUGGCGAUGGAGCAAGACUCCAUGAAGCCCGG